ACCUGCAGUAGGAUCAUUG
rnacentral:rRNA from 1 species